GGGGGUAUAGCUCAGGGGUAGAGCGCAUGCUUAGCAUGCAUGAGGUCCUGGGUUCAAUCCCUAGUACCUUCA
rnacentral:tRNA from 1 species